GAUGAACGCUGGCGGCGUGCUUAACACAUGCAAGUCGAGCGAUGAAGUUUCCUUCGGGAAACGGAUUAGCGGCGGACGGGUGAGUAACACGUGGGUAACCUGCCUCAUAGAGUGGAAUAGCCUUCCGAAAGGAAGAUUAAUACCGCAUAACGUUGAAAGAUGGCAUCAUCAUUCAACCAAAGGAGCAAUCAGCUAUGAGAUGGAACCGAGGCGCAUUAGCUAGUUGGUGGGGGAACGGCCUACCAAGGCGACGAUGCGUAGCCGACCUGGGAGGGUGAUCGGCAACAUUGGGACGGAGACACGGCCCAGACUCCGACGGGAGGAAGCAGUUGGGAAUAUAGCAAAAUGGGGGAAAACCAGAUGCAGCAACGCCGCGUGAGUGAUGAAGGUUUUCGGAUCGUAAAGCUCUGUCUUUGGGGAAGAUAAUGACGGUACUCAAGGAGGAAGCAACGGCUAACUACGUGCAGCCGCCGCGGUAA
rnacentral:rRNA from 1 species